AUGGAAUGACAGAAAGGAGGGAGAGGAAGAGACUUGAUCGGGAGAGGAGAAUAGAGGGAGUUGUGCGAAAAUCCUCAAUCAGGAACAGACACAAACGAAGAGGAGUUGGAAGUGGAGCCAUACUAUGUGCUAGCAACGACUACAGAAGCAAGGUAAGUAGAUUUGUAAUGCACAACUCGAUUGAGAAGAGUUUACUUCUUGAAUUUAUGUUUUUAGAUAAAUAAGGAUGAAUUAGAUAUUGCAAUCGGUGUUUUAGUUAAUAAAAAUAAGUGGGAUAGAGUGAAUCUCAAUUAGAGGGCGUGCAUAGAUAUAAAAUCAGGAGAAUUAGCGAUUUGAUUAGGAAUUAAUGAGAAAGAAGGAGCACAAUUGAGUGAUAGCAGAGUAGAUCGAACGAAAAUGACCCUGUGUAAGCUCUUUUUCCUUGAAUAAUAUUAACCAAAUAGAAUCGCAUGAGGAGUUCACCUCUGUGGCAUUACUCCGUCAGUAAAUCUGGUGGUGCUAAAAUGCAAGAAAAGUGAUGAAAUUCAGUGGGCUAAAUUUACAGGUCAUUGGGGUUGCUGCCCCGAAUGUCUGGUGUGGUGAAAUUCUGUAUGUGUUGCAUGAAAUUGUGAUUGUCUAUGUGAAAACUUGACUGAGGGGUCCUUCGGUAUCAUUGCGUUGCUUUUAUCAAUUUUUAUAAUUAUAAAUGACAUAUUCUAUAGUGAGCUUCUGUAAGGAGCGAAGUAUGAAUGAUUGUGCCCUUUUAAGGGUCGAGGGGUUGAAGCCUCGAAAACUUUAUAUGGUACUGAUGGCAAAUGUAUUUUGGAAGUUGUAAAAGUUAACAAAAAAUUAUGAAGGUGAGAAUGAAUCACUAGAAAUGACUGAGAAUAAAUAAAAUGAAAUUUAUGUUUAUAUGUGGGGGAGAACGGGAUACUGAGUGCUGCUGGUUAUAAAUGCCUAAUUAUAUAUAUAUAUAUGUAUACAUGGGCGGAGAUGGGAUAACAUAGACUGCUGGGUGUUGAUUAUAUGCAGUUAAAAUAGAAAUAGGAAGAGAGAAGAGUUAAGUCAGAAUACCAGAAAGAUUGUGAAGAAAAAAAAUGCAGAUAAAACAGAAAAUAAGAAAAAAGAAUAAUGAAGUUAGGAUACCGGAAAGAUUGGGAAAGGGAAACAAGUUAAGCAAAAAUAUAAAAAAAGGAGAAAAAAAAAUACCAGAGGCCAUUCUACAGUAUGGGAGGAGGAGAGACUAAGAUUAGCCUGUGAUCACAAUAAGUUUAACAUACAUGAAUGGGUGUAACUGAUGGGUGAUUGGGUUAAUUUAGGAGGAGCUGGCAGUACUAGGGCGAAAGGCACGUGGGACAAAAAGUCUAGUUGUAAAGUCUUUCCUUUCGUAGGUAUGGUUUAUAAAUUUACUAUACUGGGCAAAAUAGCUCAUUAUGUCGUAUAUCACAGAGCAGGUUAAACCCGAACAGAAUCAAGACGCACCAAAGACAUGUCUCCCAGCAUAAUAGGAGCACCAAGGGCUUUCUCCUGACCACCAAGAAUAUAGGAGUGUAGUAAUCAUGGCGAAUAACAGUAUGUAGUUAUGACAGAUGAUGUUAUUAUGUCAUACUGAUGGGUAUAAUCUAAACCUCUCAAUGUGAUAUGACAUAUUGAAAGGAAUAUGAUAGUUAGCUGAUGUAGAAACUGGAACCAUCAUGUAUACAGUGAAAAUGAAUAUUCAUAUAGAUAUGUCUUUCCAUUUCUCUUUGUCGAACUUGUGAUAUGUACAGGAGGAAUGAAGUUGAUCCCUUAUCUUUAUAAGAAUGGAGGUGUUACAGAUAGUAUAAGAGUUAGGUUUCAUUAAGUGUAUUUUGUUUAUUUUACCCUCCCUUUAGUCUUGGUCGUUGAGUCUCCCCCACAUAUACACAUAUUUUAUUUUAUCUAUUCUCAAAUAUUUCUAGUGAUUCAUUGUCACCUUCAUAAUUUUUUGUUAACUUUUACAGCCCCCAAAUUACAUUUGCAAUCAGUACCAUAUAAAAUUUCCAAGGCUUUAACCCUUCGACCCUUAAAAAGGGCCGCAAUCAUUCAUAUUUCACUCCUUACAGGAGCUCACAAUAGAAUAUGUCAUUUACCAUUAUAAAAAUUGAUAAAAGCAAUGCAACGAUCCCGAAGGACCCCGCAGUCAAGUUUUCACACAGACAAUCAUAAUUUCAUGGAACACAUAUAGAAUUUCACCACAUUAGACAUUCGAGGCAGCAACCCCAACGACUCGUAAAUUUAGGUCAUUGAAUUUCAUCAUUUUGCUCGCAUGUGAGCACCACCAGAUUUACUGACGAAGCAACGCCACAGAGGUGUACUCCUGCGAUUCUGUUCGGUUAAUAUUAUUCAAGGGAAAAGAGCUUACACAAGGUCAUUUUCGUUCGAUCUUCUCUGCUAUCACUCAGAUUGUGCUCCUUCCUUCUCAUUAAUUCCUAAUCAAAUCACUAAUCCUCGUGAUUUUAUAUCUAUGCACACCCUUCAAUUGAGAUUCACUCCAUCCCACUCAUUUUUAUUAACUUAAACAUCGAUUGCAGAAUCCAAUUCAUCCUUAUUUUAUUUAAAAACAAAAAUUCAGAAGUAAACUCUUCCUAAUCGAGUUGUGCAUUACAAAUUUACUUACCUUACUUUUGUAGUCGUUGCUAGCUCGUAGUAUGGCUCCAUUUCCCGUUCCUCUCUGUCUGUUUGUUCCUAGUUGAGGAUUUUUGUACAGCUUCCUCUAUUCUCCUCUCUCAGUCGAGUCUCUCUCCCUCUCCCUCCUUUCUGUCAUUCCAUUCUCUCUCUAGAAUUUUAUUAAGCAGAAACAAGGUAGUUAAAAUCGGGCAUGGCAGAUUUUGAACCGUUGGAUCUAGGAAUUUAUUUUUUGCUGUUCGAUCCAGGUUUUAUUAAGGUUGAAUAAAGAAGUGAAGAAGAAGACUGAAGAUAAGGCAUCUUUAAUCUGAAAUGUUUUCUGCAACCACGACCCUCGGAUCACAUAUAAGUGAUCCGAGCUGUUAGGGGCAUGGGUGGCCAACAGGCCUGGCAGGGGGAGCCUGUUUACUUGGCGAGGAAGGAAGGAAAAUUGCCUGCAGUUUGGGCUUCGGAGCUGAGUGGUGGCUCAUCGGCAAAAGAGUCACGACAAGUGACUUGCAUGCCCACGAAGAUGCUUGCAGGUGAGGAAUCUCGCGCCCCAGCCUCGUGAGCGUCUUCUGCCCGCAACUUGUGGGAUUUUCUUUCCCCCCAGUCAUGACCAAGGACUUGGGCAUUUGCCCACACGUUGGGGAGCUGGCCGUGGUCUAUCCUAGAUGCUGGGUGUGCUCGCGGGUUGGGGGAUUUUCCCUCGGAAAGGGAAACUCACGGUGAGUUGUGUGUGUGUGUGUGUUUGUGGUUUUCUCAUAAUUUUUAGAUUUAAAUUAAAUAACAUAAAUGCAAAAAUAAAAGAAACAACUUGUAAAAAUUACCUCAACACUUUUAUAAAUAACAUUACCAGUUUUAUAGAGGUUUGAAUAUUUCAGCUUACUAUAUACUUAGAAUUUUCCCUAAGAUAUAAUAACUUUCUUUUAUAAAAAAAAAAAAAAAGCCAUUAGAGUAUAUAUUGUAUUCAACUCCAUCAUGAACUAGAUAAAAUGAUAAUAAGAUACAGAUACUUACCUCUCAAAAAAAUUAAUUGUUCGUUUAUAGGAGAACCAAAUCUCCUUAAAAGUACUUAACCUCUCGUGUAUGCACUACAGAUUGAAAAACAUAACUGAGUAUAUUCCUAAGUAUGUCUUAGACAAAUUUUAAGAUCUAAAUUUAUUAUCUUUUAUUGAUGUAUGUUCUUAUAAAUUUUAUAAAUAUGAUGAACUAAGUGUUAGCUUGAGAUUUAAUAAA